rnacentral:rRNA from 1 species
AGCCUGAUGCAGCAACGCCGCGUGAGGGACGACGGCCUUCGGGUUGUAAACCUCUUUUAGCAGGGAAGAAGCGAAAGUGACGGUACCUGCAGAAAAAGCACCGGCUAACUACGUGCCAGCAGCCGCGGUAAUACGUAGGGUGCAAGCGUUAUCCGGAAUUAUUGGGCGUAAAGAGCUCGUAGGCGGUUUGUCGCGUCUGCUGUGAAAACCCGAGGCUCAACCUCGGGCCUGCAGUGGGUACGGGCAGACUAGAGUGCGGUAGGGGAGAUUGGAAUUCCUGGUGUAGCGGUGGAAUGCGCAGAUAUCAGGAGGAACACCGAUGGCGAAGGCAGAUCUCUGGGCCGUAACUGACGCUGAGGAGCGAAAGGGUGGGGAGCAAACAGGCUUAGAUACCCUGGUAGUCCACCCCGUAAACGUUGGGAACUAGUUGUGGGGUCCAUUCCACGGAUUCCGUGACGCAGCUAACGCAUUAAGUUCCCCGCCUGGGGAGUACGGCCGCAAGGCUAAAACUCAAAGGAAUUGACGGGGACCCGCACAAGCGGCGGAGCAUGCGGAUUAAUUCGAUGCAACGCGAAGAACCUUACCAAGGCUUGACAUAUACGAGAACGCUGCAGAAAUGUAGAACUCUUUGG